AUAAGAAUGCCAACUGUUAAAUCAACAAUGGGAGUCACUGGGUACAUGCUCCCCACGUAGGAUCUCUGUCCUUAAUGUGUUUUACUAUGAAGCUUAAAACAACACUACUAGUCGAACAAUACCCUAUACCUUGUGUGGUUGUGUGAGUACAGCCUGUUGAAAUCCUUGCUUAGUAUAUACUAAGUUGAUCUUCAGUAUAUGAAGCACAUACUUCAAGGAAGCAUUAGAGAAUAUGAAAAUAACUGGGAACUUACUGAAAAGCAAACAUCUGUUAAUGGCAUCCCAAAAGCAAGAACGCAAAAUAGUUCAUUUCCAAUCCACACCUUAAUGUUUCUUUGAAAGAUUCUCAACUUCCAAGACUUGAUAAUGAGAAUAAUUAACAGGAAAAAGUUAAAUUCUCAUAUGUCUCCAGACGUUUCUUAGCAUCUUGGAAGAAAUGCAGAAUGAAAAGUUUAUUUCAACAUUCUCAAAACAGAAAACCUUGUGGAUGCAAGACUAUUUAUGUACGUUCAACUAACAUUUUGAAAGUCAACAUGAAAUAGCUGAAUACGAUAUUUAAAUGUAGAGGUUCUAAAAAUGAUAUAAACAUCACCACUGGCUUCAACGUUUCCCCAAAGAUGCAGCCUAAGUUCUCACUCUGCUAGAUAAAAAAUUCCAAAUACCUGAAGCUCACAUAAUGAUAGCUUUUCAGUGUCUGGAUGAUCCCACUGCUGGCGUAACCCAAACCUCAUCCAUCAAGUGUUGAUCCUGCGCUCCAUCUGGAGAAAAGUAAAAGCCGUGGGUGAAUGCUUCAGGAGAAAGAUGGGAGUGCCCACCGCCUGUCACCUGGUUUUACAUGCUGUGAUGCCUGUGCAACACUUAGCACUGUGCAUGCAAGUUAGCAAAUGAAUGAAGAAUAAGCUAUCUCCGUUCAGCACUCAUAGUGCUGAACCCUCUUGGUUGUUCCUUCCCUGCCUCUUGCCUCCAUUGGGCCUCUAUAAAUAUAUCUAUAGUCUCCAGCCUACUAGAUCACAAAAAUGUACAGACACAGUAUGCAGAGUACCAAGGCACCUGACAACCAAUCAUGGCAUUCUUAACAAACAUACACAGAAAUGUGAACGGACUGACAGACUGAAGGGUCCUCAAGGCCCGGGAGGGAUAUUCAAUGUAGAAUGAUUCAGAAAAAGCCUAUCAAUGACUUCAUGAAUGAAACCAAGAAAUGCAAAUAAAAGAGAAGUUUUGCGUACAGUAAGUAUAGACAAACUUUUUUCAUACUUUUUCUGAGAAUAACACAAAAGUUGGAAAAAACCAAACAACAUCUACAAGCAUUACAUCAAAAAGUUCACAGAAAUGAAAUUAAAAGAUGUUUACUUGGUGCAAAAAUCUUUGGAAAUCCAUGCAUAGCUUUUUCAUAAUACACAUUUUCCAUAAACUUUUCCAAGAUAUCUCAUAUUUGAAGAUUUAGAGACAAGUCUAUUAGACUUGUACAUU